rnacentral:rRNA from 1 species
GAUGAACGCUGGCGGCGUGCUUAACACAUGCAAGUCGAACGGUAAGGCCCUUCGGGGUACACGAGUGGCGAACGGGUGAGUAACACGUGGGUGAUCUGCCCUGCACUUCGGGAUAAGCCUGGGAAACUGGGUCUAAUACCGGAUAGGACUCCGGACUGCAUGGUCUGGGGUGGAAAGCUUUUGCGGUGUGGGAUGGGCCCGCGGCCUAUCAGCUUGUUGGUGGGGUGAUGGCCUACCAAGGCGACGACGGGUAGCCGGCCUGAGAGGGUGACCGGCCACACUGGGACUGAGAUACGGACCAGACUCCUACGGGAGGCAGCAGUGGGGAAUAUUGCACAAUGGGCGCAAGCCUGAUGCAGCGACGCCGCGUGAGGGAUGACGGCCUUCGGGUUGUAAACCUCUUUCAGCAUCGACGAAGCGAAAGUGACGGUAGGUGCAGAAGAAGGACCGGCCAACUACGUGCCAGCCGCCGCAGUAA